rnacentral:rRNA from 1 species
UACGGAGGGGGCUAGCGUUGUUCGGAAUGACUGGGCGUAAAGCGCGCGUAGGCGGGCUGGAAAGUCAGGGGUGAAAUCCCGGGGCUCAACCCUGGAAUUGCCUUUGAGACUCCCAGCCUUGAGUUCGAGAGAGGUGAGUGGAAUUCCGAGUGUAGAGGUGAAAUUCGUAGAUAUUCGGAGGAACACCAGUGGCGAAGGCGGCUCACUGGCUCGACACUGACGCUGAGGUGCGAAAGCGUGGGGAGCAAACGGG